GGACUCAUGCAUUUUUCGGAUUGGUUCCCGCUAGGAGAGAGCUCUUCCAGGUGCGAAUAUUGUGGAUCUUCUGUUUACAUUUUCUUGUUGCAUUGUUCUUCAUGCAAUUUCCUUGAUGUCUUUAGCUUUUAUUCACCGUUUGGAUGCAACUUUUCUGCUACUCUCUCGUUUUUUUAUGAUUUUCACUUAAGGAUAUUUAUGCAUAUGAGAGCAUCAGAAUCAUACAUAUAUUCUCUGUCCUUCCCUGUACGUGGAGCUUGGAGCAUGCAUGGAUAUCUCUAUCUCUCUCUACCCACACCCUCAUGCAUGUGUUCAUCUAAACAUACCGCCCAAAACCCAUUCUUUCUCUGUAUCCUCAUGUCCUUUAUCCACCCC
rnacentral:lncRNA from 1 species